rnacentral:rRNA from 1 species
UACGGAGGGUGCGAGCGUUGUCCGGAAUCACUGGGCGUAAAGGGCGCGUAGGUGGCGCGACAAGUCAACGGUGAAAGCCCGGGGCUCAACCCCGGGUCGGCCGUCGAUACUGUUGGGCUUGAGCACUGUAGAGGCAGAUGGAAUUCCGGGUGUAGCGGUGGAAUGCGUAGAGAUCCGGAAGAACACCGAUGGCGAAGGCAGCCCCCUGGGAUAACACUGACGCUCAUGCACGAAAGCGUGGGGAGCAAACAGG